AGUCACGACGCAUAUCAAUAAGCGGAGGAAAAGAAACCAACAGGGAUUGCCCUAGUAACGGCGAGUGAAGCGGCAACAGCUCAAAUUUGAAAUCUGGCUUCGGCCCGAGUUGUAAUUUGCAGAGGAAGCUUUAGGCGCGGCACCUUCUGAGUCCCCUGGAACGGGGCGCCAUAGAGGGUGAGAGCCCCGUAUAGUUGGAUGCCUAGCCUGUGUAAAGCUCCUUCGACGAGUCGAGUAGUUUGGGAAUGCUGCUCAAAAUGGGAGGUAAAUUUCUUCUAAAGCUAAAUACCGGCCAGAGACCGAUAGCGCACAAGUAGAGUGAUCGAAAGAUGAAAAGCACUUUGAAAAGAGGGUUAAAUAGCACGUGAAAUUGUUGAAAGGGAAGCGCUUGUGACCAGACUUGCGCCGGGCAGAUCAUCCGGUGUUCUCACCGGUGCACUCUGCCCGGCUCAGGCCAGCAUCGGUUCUCGCGGGGGGAUAAAGGCCCUGGGAACGUAGCUCCUCCGGGAGUGUUAUAGCCCGGGGCGUAAUGCCUUCGCGGGGACCGAGGUUCGCGCAUCUGCAAGGAUGCGGCGUAAGGUCAUCAGCG
rnacentral:rRNA from 2 species